rnacentral:misc_RNA from 1 species
UCAUUUUUGUGUUGAUGUUGUUACUGUUUUAUUUAACCUCAAACUGUUUGUUGGUUAAAGUUGAUUAUAUAGGCUACUUUUAAAAGAUUAGUUAUCACAUUUCUUAGAUCUUAACAGUUUAAAUUUUUUAAUAAACUACAUAAUUGUUAUAAAAUAAUAGUUCUCUGGUUGAAAGCAAUUCAAAUUUAUGUUAACUGAUUCAGUUAUGACUUUCAAUCAACAUUUACAGGAAAUAAUUAUUACAAAUAAAACCUCUGAUUAAAUUAUAAUGAUUAUAUUCAUACUUCAUGUUUGAAAAACGGUCAAAGUUUAUAUUAUUAUAUGAUAUAAGCUAACUUGUUUUACUUGGUAAUAGAAAUCAAAUUGUAUUUGUGUGUGUGAUUCAUGAGACGCACUUUCACUCAUUAAACACUUUUUCUCAAUAAACAUUUCCAGAAUUCUCUGAAUACUGAUAACCAUUGGAAGCAAGUUUAAAUAGACAAUAAGUAUUUAUAAUUUUGCUGCUGAAAUAAUGGUUACCCUUCCUAGAAUCGCAGUGGUUGGAAGUGGACCAGCAGGAUUCUAUGUUACUCAACAGAUUUUGAAGCGUAGCAAAGAAGCAAAAGUCGAUUUAUACGACAGACUACCUGUGCCUUUUGGUUUGGUGAGAUACGGAGUUGCCCCAGACCAUCAAGACGUCAAAAACUGUAUAAAUCAGUUCACCAAAACUGCUAAAAAUCCAAACGUGCGAUUCAUCGGAAACGUUCAGUUGGGAAGAGACGUAAGUCUCAAACAGUUGAAAGAUGCUUAUCAUUCUGUUGUUCUGGCUUACGGAGCUGACAGUGAUAAGGAAUUUGGCAUACCCGGUGAGAGUUUGCGGAACGUGAUAUCGGCCAGAUCGUUUGUUGGUUGGUACAAUGGCCUGCCGGAAGACCAGGGACUUGUGCCUGACCUGAGCUGUGAGGAUGUAGUCGUGCUCGGACAGGGGAAUGUUGCCAUCGAUGUGUCUCGUGUUCUGCUCAAAUCAGUUGAUGUACUCAAGACGUCAGAUAUAACAGAAAACGCAUUGGAAAUACUUUCGAAAAGCCGAGUGAAACGGGUUCAUCUGGUUGGACGAAGAGGUCCCCUGCAAGUAGCAUUCACAAUCAAAGAAUUCAGGGAAAUGGUGAAGUUGCCCAAUGCCACUACUUUGUUCAGACCAGAGCAAUUGGUGGGACUGGAAAGCGUCAUCCCUAGUAGGUCUAAAACGUCAACGAGUCCGUUUAAUGCAGCUGAUAGCUGAUACAGGCCGCAAUAAUUUGACUACAGUAGAUUGUGACAAGCUUUUCAAAGUAAUAUUCUUAAGAUCACCUCUUGAAAUACUUGGCGAUAGCUGUGUGUCUGGUGUCAAGCUCUCUGUCAACAAACUUGAAGGAUCUGACAUAAAUAGUCAACACGCUGUUCCAACUGGUGAAUAUGAAAGUAUAAACUGUGGAAUGGUUUUGCGUAGUAUUGGAUACCGUAGUCGACAAGUUGAUGAAUCUGUUCCUUUCGAUACAAAAAAUUGUGUAGCUUUACAGCAACCAGGAUUGUAUUGUGCUGGAUGGCUUGCAAAUGGUCCGACCGGUGUUAUACUAACAACUAUGGCCGAGUCAUUUCUCGUUGGAGAGAAGGUUGCCAA